GUGGUCAGUUGGCUCUGCAGACUGCAGAUAAGGGAAGAAGCAAAGAAAAAUGUUGCUGCCCUAUAUAUCGGAAAGAUCUCCCUUCACAGAAUCAGCUGUCACAGAACUUGGAUCAGCCCUCUUCAUAAAGAUGAGAGGCAGCUUGGAGAACCCAGGCGUUGCAGCUAGAUUUGACACAAAGGCCAGUCUAGUGCAAGUGCCCCAUGCCUACAAAGACACAAUAGUCCAUACUGAGGUGGAUUCCAGAGGUUGAAGAGGUUAAAAUAAAUGAAGAAUGCAUUUAACUUCAAGAACUUAAGUAAUUCCACUGGAACCAAUAAGACUAUUCAGAGCAGGGACUGGUUCCAAAGCAGUUAUGUUGACAGUGAAGUUGCAGUAUCUUAUUAUAUUUCUGGUAGAAUAUGACAGCCCAAGAGCCAUGACGUUACACAGUACUUCUAGGAUCCUAAGCAUGGCUGCAGCAUUAUAGAGGAUUGUCCUGGUAUAUCUUCAUCAACUACAUCAAGGCUUCUUUUGCCAGAAGAAAUAAAGAAUAUUCUGAAACUACAGAGAGUUCAUAGGCAAUGGGGCAAUACCACGGAAGGAUUAAGUGAACAAAACUUGCUCUCAGAAGCUGACACUGAAUAAAUCCUGAUGAACCCCACGCACACCUUCCAGGAAUGAGAUGACCUGCACCCAUUCCAAACUUGCUGACUGGCUUGACCAAGCCAAUCACUGAAGAAGGCUAUCAGGUUUGCCAAGAAAGAUUUCCCCUGCAUAAAAUCAUGGUGACUGCUCCCAUUUGACUUGUUGUUCUUCAUAUGUCUGGAAACAAUUCCAGCAUCAUUUGUUCUAUCACUUUCCCGGUGAUCAAGUAUAUGAAAGAGACAGAUGAAGUGGAGCCUAGACAUAUUCUGCUGAAGCCUGUGAAAAAGAGCCUGUCUUGGCCUGCACCUCUAGUGUGGCAAAACAUCAUCCAGACAUCAAAGGGAAGAAGAGAGGAACAAAUACAGUUUCUGUGAUGAACAUUCAGAAGGUUGCCUCCAAUUUAUCAGUUUGAUGAGGGGAAAGAGAUCACAUUCUCCAAAGCUCUGCUCAUUCCAGACCCCCACAAGAAAUGUCAGUAACCAUGGAAGGAAUGUGCAGAUACUCACAGUGAGGUCACUUCCCAUGGUUGCCACCCACUGGAUCAGGCUGCUCAGUGUCCCAUCCAAACUGGCCUUGGACACCUCCAUGGAAGGGACAUCCUCAGCUUCUCUGGGAAGCCUGUACCUCACCACUCUUAAAAUAAAGAAUUUCUUCCAAAUGUCUAAUCUCAAUCUACACUCUUUUAGUUUUAAACCAUUACCCCUUGUCCUAUCACUGCAUUCUCUGUUAAGGAGUGUCUCUCCAGAUUUCCUAUAGGCCACUUUAGGUACUGAAAGACCACAGUGUGGUCUCCAUGGAGCCUUCUUAAAGCUGAACAAGCCCAACUGUCUCAGCCAGUUUUCACAGAAGAGCUCCCACACUGAAGGAUCUCUGUUCACUACCAUGACAGAACCAUAUACUGACCACAGCAUCUUAUAUGGCCACAGUAGAAACUGCCAAAAGCACAGAUUCUUUUUUGAAGAAUGCCAUCUAGACUGGGUCAAAUUAAUCAAAAUGUAGGUCCUCCUCUUUCUUGGAUACACAAUGGGCAGUGUGUACAGUACAUGAAAUAAAAAAACAGUUCACAUUGUGGUUUUUUGUUUUUUUUUAUCAAUAAGUUCAUGCUUGGUAUAAUGUUGAUAGGUAUCCUUGCCUUAUUUUGACAUGCUUCAAGUGGUGUUGCGAAACAUGAGCACAAAAGUUGACCACAAACAUUGUCACGGUCUUACCUCUAGAACAAUAAUUCCCACAAAAUGUAAUGCCCAUUGAGCAGCAAUACUCAAAUAAAAAGGAAUUUUAUAAACAGAGCUUAGAAAGUCCAUUAACUGGGAUGCAGCAAGUGGGCUUCAGUGAAGACUGGUGCUCUGCAGUUCUUUCAUUGCUGAGGGCAGCAUUACUGGAAACAUCUUCAGUUUAUAUCCCUGUAAACAGAUUUCUGUGCUAAGGAUAAACGAACUGGGAGCUACACUCUCCCCAUGGCUGUUUGGCCAGUAUGAGUCCAUUUCAUCUUGUGUGGGGCAUUUGUGAAAUAGAGCUGCCGAAGCAUUUCCAUGAAAGUCAGUGAUUGCCUAAUCCCUUGCAAGUGUACUCUUCAGAAGUUAGACCAAUUUCGGCUUCUCUUUUAUUUGCGAACAUUGCAGCAAAUCUUUCCUUCUUGUUUUUGGUCUCCAGCCCACUCUAAUUCCAGUGACUCAUACUGUGGUGAAAAUAGGUUAUGUGACAGACAGAAAUGUUGGUUUUACUGUUUCAGAGAUAAAAGAAGUACAGUUUGAGCCCUCUGUGUGUGACCCAAGGUAGCAAGUGCUUAGGUAUUUGCCGCAUGAAGACUAAAUGCAUACAGCUACAAUGUGAGUAGUCUGGCAUGGGAGAAGUGAGGAUGCAUUCUGCAUUGACUUUUCUCCCCAGGAGGGACAGAGAAAUAAGGGAAAGGGAAGAAGAGAAGGGGAUGGCAUCUCUUUAGGUUUCUCUCAACUCCACUUUCCUUAAUGUACAAUACAUACUGAAAUACAUGCUGAAAUGAUUUGGAGAAUGUGCAUCUGUUAUUAAUGUGACAUUUCAGGGCACUGAUAAUUUGACUCUGGAAGUGAUUUUAGUUAGAAGGCCUCAUUAUGUAUCUUUCCCUCACUUGCGGAAGUGGAGUUGUGGUGAAGGAGAUUCUGUGCAAGAAAUGCCAACUACAAGACAGGAGGUCUCAAUAAAUUUACAAGAAAAGUCAAGCUAUGAUUAAAGAUGUGUCAUCGAGCUCUCUCAUUUCCCUCUUUUAAUCUUUAAUUAUUUUUUAAACAAUCUAUAGUAAAGUAUAUCUCAAAGGGAGAAUAGGUCUAUUCUGGAAAAGAAAGCAACUAAAUGAAACUCAAAAGAAAAAAGUCUCUGGAAAAUUAAGAAGACCGGGAGAUAGUUGCAAAGUAAAUAGAAAAGCUGAUUUGGAAUACUGAAAGAUUUUUGUCUAAAUGAUGUUCAGUUAAAAAAAAAAAAUCAUCUUUUGAACCUGUAAAUUAGACUAUUAUUAGAGGCUGCACAUGAGCACAGAAGAAGUUUAUGCAGCUAACACAACAUCCUGCUUGCCAAGAUCAUCUUGCUCUAAUUCUCUUGUCAGCAAAGCCACUUUAUAGAAGAACAAUUAACUCACAAUUUGUUUACUUGAUUUUAUUUUCUUCCUAGCAAUUUCAUCAUUUUUAUAUACUUUGGGCAUGUUUCCAGCCCCAAAGCACUAAGAAAUUCAGUAGAGAGCAAAAUAAAUGAAAACAAAUCAAUGCAUGUGAAUGGCCACAAAUGUCACAUUGCUUAUCUUGCUCUGUAAAACACUAAGCAGCUGCUGGCGUUUCGCAAAGAGGAAAAACAAAGCUCUGUUAGUAUUCCUGUGCACACUUUGUUAUUUCACUUAGCAGCUGAUUUUGAAAGAAAAAAGAAACAGAACUGAUCUGAUGUCUUUCCUCUCAAGAUUAACCCACAUCCUUCCUAGGGCAGGAAGGGCAGGUGAAUAGCACACAGGACAUUUGCCACUUCUAUGGCAUCAAUUAUCUACUUUAUUACAUGACUUCACUGAGAACAACAGUAACAGGCUCCAGCAACAUAAUUAGUUUGUUAGAGAGGAUGCGAAAAUCUGCUCAAGUAUUUUGGCAUAGGCAUGGCAAGUAUUGAAAUACCCUUUCUGCAAAGGACUGUUUGCCCACUUGAGUGAGCUAAACUGUAGGAAGCAAUUGUCUCCUCAGAUGUGUGGUUUGCCCUCCCAUGCAGAAGGGGAAGUUGCAUUAGGUGGUAAAAUAACAGGAAAACAGAAGGAAAAGUGGGGCUGGGGAGAAUACUGGCAGAGCAGGGAAGCAGACUGAGCAGGCAGGCAUGCGGCCUACGAAUCCUGCACACCAAAAGAGUGCACCAGGGAAACAUCUGAUGAGACUAGGGUGGUUUGAUCUUUUCUAUCCUGGCAGCUGACCCAUCUGAGAUGUCCCGUCCUACCCAUCUGGACUCACAUCCCUUUUUCAGAAGAGGAAAGGGAAUGUAGUGAGGACCUGGGAACCUGCUCCUCGCCCCUCACAAUGAAAACAUUGGUGCACAUUAUCUAAGGGACUUUGCAGUUUCAUCUUCAAGGUGCUCCUAGUUCUGAGUGGGAGGAAGCAGUCAGGGUUUCCAUGAAGGGUUGCUGUAAGCACCUUUCUCAAUAAGCCAAGGUAGGGAACUGUAAACCAGAGAUAAGGCAUUGUUAAACCAUGGAAAAACACUCUUAAGUAAAGUUUUAUCAUCUGUCAAUUGACUGGCAUAUUUUGGAAGUUUCAGUGAGAAAGGAAGGAUAUAGGUAAUAACUCUAAGUGUGCACGUGGAUUCUGCAGCUUUCUGCCACAAGUGGCUGACUCCCAGGUGAUGAGUGUGAUGUGGCUAAGCAGCAAGUGAGGGUUGCGUGAAACAAACUCUGCUGACUCUACUCCUGACUCUGACAGUGUGGAUCAGUUUCUUUAGUCCCUCAUGCCUGGAUAUUCAUAACACUAUUUUGCUCUUGAGACCUUCUAAUGAGCAGCUUUGUAUAAUACUGAAAUGCAAUUGUUAUGAGCUGCAGUGAUGCUAGAGUGUGAGCAAUGGCAUAAGGUAGACAUGGUACUUAUGAUAUUUACACUCAUGACGAGGGCAUCUCUAUUUCCCCCUACAAUGUAUAAUGACUUUCCAGAACUUGCUCUUAAAGGAUAAUAUGAGGUGCUGUAGAUGUCAGCUACCACUGCCUUCAACUCAUUAGCUGGGCCCGCAAGCCCCACACAUGCUGUGGUAGGAUGUCCCCAUGCACCUGCUCAAAGUGAAGGUGUGCUUGUAGGACUAGUUCAUGAAGCCACUCCAAGCUAGCAAUUGCAUUCAGAUGUUUCUGCAUCACCUGCAUUAGGGAGACAGCAAUGUUUGGUAUCUUCUGGAAAUUUUUUACUGAUAUUCUUUCCUUGAACCUCUUUUGUUCAGCAAGGGACAGCAGAACUGUGAUAGUGCAGUGUUAAGAAACCAAGUAUUCCUUUUGUUCAGUAUGCUCAGCUCCCACAGAAACUGCUUUCUGGAGAGGAUCUCAGAGUCAGGAAGCUUCUGUUUAACUUCAUAUCAAGUACCGGUUAUUAAUACGGCACUAUGGGCACCCUUACAUUUAUAGUAGACCAGAAGUUUCUGCGGUGAGGUCUUGUUAAUUUGCCCAUUACACAGAAGUCAGUCAAGUCAGCUUUCAUCACUUCAAAACCCCACCAAAGCAAGGAUGGAAGCGUUUAUGUUGGGCAUUUCCCAAAAAUACAAAAAAAAAAAAAAAAAAAAAAAAGAGCAAUAAAAAUAUAAAAGGCAUAUGGUGGUCUUGUGACUGGGGAUACAGCUGAGGUUGAGCAAUAUGUAUGCACUUUUUUCUUUCAGAGGGAAAUAUGUUUAUUCUUUGAGUAUGUAAGAAAACUAGUGGUUUCCUGUUUUCAGACAGAGUUCAGAUAAUUAUGUUGAAAUGAAAUAUGCAUUGUCUUAUAUCUGAUAAAAGCAAUAUCCUAGGCAAUAUAAGGCAGUUAACUGUUAAUUCCUCUACUUUAAAGUGCUUGUGGUUUGCAAACAAAUAAGAAAAAAUGACAUGGCUUGCAUUGGGAUUCUUACCUGUCUCUGAAACCAUUUGGAUUGCAAUGUUAGAAAUAAGUACUGGGGUACUAAAGAGAUUUUAAUAGCAUGCAGUUGGAAUGGCCAUGAAGGGAGAAAAGGGACACCUAUUACACUAUGGCACCAAAGUUUUAAAGGUUAAUUGCUUUUCCCAUCCCCCAGCAGACGGGUGUAGAACAAGAUAUUGUUCAGAUUCAAUGAAAGAGGGAGGUAGUGGAGCUUGAACAAAAGCAGCACAACAUUUUCUCGCAGCCGGUCUUACUCUGUGUGCUUCUGCCAUGGCUACAUAAGAUGAAGAAGGACAGUAGUGAUGGUGUCAACUGGGAGAUUUUUUGACUGAAACACUGGAAAUAUUGUCUCUAUUUACUGGUUCAUCUCAGCAAAUCUAUUACCCUUUGAAUGCCAGAAAGGUCAGCUGGGGUUAUCUUCUGCAUAAGUACUAUCUGCAUAGAUUCCUGGGAGGGAGCUGAGCUCUUGCACUGUGUCUCCUGAAACAAUGACUUUUAAAUCUUUGUUUAUCAAUCUGCCUACUAUGACUCAAUUUUUCUCCCUGUUCCUGUUCAGAUGUCCCAUGAGCAACUUUCUAGAUGGACUCACGUUCCACUGCUUACAAAGAGCCCGGGUGGAAUAUUCUUUUAUGUAAUUUCAGUAGAAGAGGUGUAUGGUACAGCUUCUUUUCUCCUGUAACCAUGGAUAGGAAAUCAAAGUUGUAACUGGAUCGAGGUUGUAACAAUAACUGGAAUUCAAACAGAAGUCAGCAUGCUUGAUUUCUUCUCUCUCUCUUGCUAUAAUUGCAUAUUUCUGGGAGGAUUUAGGUGAGACUUAGAUGAUUGCUAUGUUAACAAGAGAACAUUUUCAGAUGGCAGACCCUACAGCUGUCAAUGUCUUCUGCUAUGGAUUGGUACAGAUAUUUACAUCAUGCCUAAGUUUUCUCACUAGAAAUAUGUGUGGCAUUUUGUAUUGUGGAAGCUACUGUUUUAAAUCUAAAAGUAUCCAGUUUAUGAGAUUUUUUUGAUAAAAUUGUGUACGGUAUUGUGCAAUAGCACAUCUGGCAGCUAUAGUCCUAUUAGUGGUUUGAUAUUGUGUUUUGACUAUCUGACAAAAUCCUGCUGGUCUGAACUAUUCACUGUUCAUCAGAUUUUGGAAACAAAUAAUUGCUAACUUCUUCCUGGCUCACAUGAUAAAGUGGCCAUGUUCUGGUCCUCAUUGCAAUUGAAAUGAUCAUUGAAAACUGCAGCAGUGAAUAACAAUACACAUUGCUUCUUAGUGUGCAUUAAUUCAUUUAGUUUGAACUCUUACAGGAGCAGCUUCAGCACAUUGACAGCUUUCAGAUGCAUAAGCCAAGGAGACAGUACAGAACAACAAGAACAGUGUACUGCUGAUUGCACCAGACUCAUUAAAAAUGGCAUUUAAACACUGCAAAAUGAAGUCCUAAGUUUAUUCUGAUCCUCAAAGGCCGUUAAAUGGGUGUAGUUGAAAACUGAACUUUUCUUAGGGCUGUUGACUAACAUGUCUACAAUUACAUGUGGUUGUUCUCCUUCUUGCCUGAGAACUGAGCAACACUGGGGAAGAAAUUAGUUGGAAUGCAAAUAUAUAUGUGUAUUUUUAAUUAAAAUCUAGUCUUCACAGCAGCAUUGCUUUUCUGGCCAAAAGGUUACCUUCACGAGAGUUUUCAAGGACUUAAGAUGAUUCUUUUUUUUAAAUUAACUUUACUCUGAGAAAAAUUAUUCUUUAUUUGUCAGGCCAAAUACAAACUGUUUUAUAAAUCAUUGUAACUAAUUGGUAAUUCUAGAUAAUGCUGGUAUUGGAUUAACUAUUUCAUCUCAUUCUUUAUCCAAAUGUUUAAUUGUCUCUCCAUGGAAGAGUUGCAGAUUUAGGCAGUAAUAACCCAUGAGAAGUCUUUUACUUUUCCAUCUUCUUACUACCAACAUCUUCAUGAUGUGUAUAGAGCUAUUCUGACAAGAGCAAGUCUCCAUUUUCCUGCCAUUAUUUAAAAAAACUGACACAUUAGGACAAGGGGGAAUAACUUUAAACUAAAAGAGGGAAAAAUUAGGUUAAAUGUUAGGAUUAAAUUCUUUACUCAGAGGGCGGUGAGGCACUGGCACAGGCAGCCCAGAGAAGCUGUGGUGCCCCAUCUCUGGAGGUGCUAAAGACCAGGUUGGACGGGGCCCUGGGCUGCCUGAGCUGGUGGGGGGCAGCCCCUCCCAUGAAGGAGGUUGGAAUGGGGUUGACCUUUGAGGUCCCUUCCAACCCACACCAUUCAAUGAUUCUAUGGUUCUACGAUUCGAUCAAUGAAAUCAGUAUGUGAUAUAAUUAUACUCUGUUAUUUGUGAUCUGUACUGCAGUAUCUCAGCAGCCACUUUCUACUUAUUGGAAAUAUUUUACUUUUCAUAAGUAAAGUAAGUAUUUAUAAUUCUGUGGCUCUGGUCUUUGAUUUGGUGCUCUUCUGAAGCAUAGAAAUAACAAGAAUGAACAGAAAAAUGCUGAGUUAUGCUUUAAAGAGAGGUAAAUUUGGCUUAAACUCCUAUUACUUGUCAGCAGAAAUCAAAGCCACACUUCUCACCCAACUGUUGUGCCCUCGAAGGAUUUCUGGAUUUCCAAAUCCAAAAGCAUAAGGAGCCUUGUGAGAAACUUUCUCAACUGGGUUUCAUAGCACACAGAACCUUUAAUACACUGACAUAUGCACAGCUCUUAUUUCGCUGCAAUGAGAGCUCAGAAUAGACCUUGUGUGAGAACCCCAGCUCACGCCAGAAGUCUAGAUGUGCCUGAUUCGCAUUAAGAAACAGCGUUAAAUUAUUACACACUGCGGGCAGCACAUUUUUCCACAGCACUGGUGGUGGCCUGCAAAAUACCAGCAUCUCCUGCAAUUAACUAUCUGUGGCUGAGAGCAGUGUUCUACCCUUGCUGGGAUUGCUGUCAGCCAUCUCUUCUACUGACUAGAAGAGUGGCAUAGUGGCGUAGCGGCAUAGCUCCAUCCUAGCACAGCAGCCUUCCUCUGUGUCAGCAGAAUACUGGCACGUCAUGAGUUGAAAGUACAGUACGUUUUGCAUCUAUUCUCAUCACUUUCCAGCCUGAGAUGUUGACUGGCUUUUCAAAGCUUUGCACGAAACAGUAGAUUUGAUGGGAUCCUCAGGCUAAAUAUCCCAGCAACACUUUUUCUUUCAAUAAAGAGUUGAAAUUUGUAUCAGGUGUCAUUUUAAAUUAACAGUGCAGUUGCCUUCUUCUUUUCCUCAGUUAUUUUUGUCUAGACCAAGUGACUUCUGAGGUUUCAUUUUGGAUUUGCAACAGUUUAGUGAUAUUCCAGUAAAUGAAAAGCUGAAUACAGCAUAAUGCUUUCAUUUUAGGGGGGCUUAAUGAAGAUAUAUUCUUUGUUCUGAAGGGCAGAACCUUCACUAGAUGUCCCAUUGUUUUAGACUAUCUGCUAUUUGGUCUCCAUAAUUUUCUGACUUUCAUGGAAGUCUUGUACAGGAAACAUCCCACCUCCAGAAAUGCUUACAGACACAAACACUUAUAAGAAAAACAAAUGAUAGUCCUGACCCAGAAGAAGGAUAGAGCAGUUUGGUAGUAUGAAACACCUCUGAACAGUGAGUGAAUAAUGGACUUAGUUGUGUGCAUUCUUGAAAGCACACUAAACAAAGUCUCGGAGUCAAAGACCCAUGAAUCAUCAUGAGAUAUCAAUAAUCAGCCCUGGCUCAUAAGACUAUCGGCAGUCACAGGGGACAACAGAAUGUCUUUGUUUUGAAGAAGUCCAAAUAUUUUAUGCCAGCACAGAAACUUUGUAAUGAAUGCUAACAGUAAAGUCAGACAUAGGCAUUUCAGUAGCACUUUUAGAAGCAAAUGUAUUUGUUCAUGGGGUGAGGAUGAGAGAACACCAUUUUUCACUCCCCUGUUUGGGGAAGGUCCUUUCCAACCUUGCAAUUCUAUGAUUCUAUGAUUCUAUGAAAUGACAAAGUUUCAGAAUCUCAGCUUCUCUCACUUGACCCAUUUUCCUUUCUGGCCCAUCUUGGUGAAGUUGUGUUGACUUUCCGCUCUUCUAUCUCUAUACGUCUGUUUGCUGGAGGUAUCUCAUCAUUCAUGAUGAGGAGUCUGAGGAAAAUCAACUGUGUUGUUUCUGAAUCACCACACCAGUUCUAUCACCACACCACACCACACCUCACCAAUCAUAUUUCUUGCCUAUGAGACAGGUCUGAGAAGAUGUUUCAAGGCAGUGGCAAUACAGGAUGACAAAAUACACUUUCAGCAGAGGUACUCUGCUCACAGGCUUCAGAAAAUGCCAAGAAAAUAACCAUGAGAGCAGUGUGCUAUGGGAAUGGAGAGCAACCCUUCAGAAACCUGUGACCUAAAUGGGCCUCUUAAGCCAUGCUUGGAACCAAUGUUAGUUACUCAAUGCCUUUGAAAAGAUGAGUGUACUGAAGACAUCUCUGUGGGCUCUCAUGGCUGUAGCUGGCCCAUGGCAUCUGCACAAUCGGAAAUAGGCAGAAGCAUCUCAGAAAACCUACAUCCUCACAGAUAUCAAGCUAGAGCUAUUUCUGAUUAAAAAGAACGUAUGGCUUAAACUACAUAUACUACGGAUUAAGUGCUGAAAGGAGUUAACAAGGAGUUUUCUAUGUCUUGUGUAUAGGAAUAGGGCUAAAUUAGGCACUGCACUUUAAAACCCCAACAGCCAUGAUAAGGCACACCUCUGUGGCAUAGUACUGCUAGCUGGCAGUCCCAGGCACAGUUCACAAUUUGUCUGGGAAAUCUGUGCUAUUGUUCCAUCCCCCACACAGUGCCAAAGUGUUCUGUGGUGUUUAGAGGGAACCUUCUGUGUCCUGUUGUGUCCUGGCACUGGGCAGCCCUAUAAAGAGCCUGGCUCCAUGCUCUUUGCACACUCCUUCUCCUACUCCUAAGUGAAGUAGAUAUUGAUAAGAUCAGAUCUCAUUCUAGCCCUCUCUUCUCCAGUUUGAACAGCCCCGGUCUCUCAGCCCCCUCCCAGGAGGAGUUCUCCAGACUUUUCAUAAUUUAUGUGGUGCUAUGUUAACUCUCUCCCAUAACUCCAUGUUAUGUUUUCUAGAGUAGGAAGCAGACAAAGAACUAUGUGUCUGACAUGCAGGCUUCCAAGUUUGGAGGACAGACUGGCAGUUUCCAGCUACAUGUUUUUGUGUGAAUAUUUAACACAGUAACAGAGGUACAUUUACAGGUCAAGAACUGAUAUUUGUGAAGAUAAUAUUUCUCCUUUCCAUCCCAUGAAAGCAUCUGAAACAAAGGGGAAACUCGCUUCCUCACCCAAUUCUAGAUAAAGUACGACGGGAAAUAAGAACCUUUCUGCUUCAAGGGAAUGACCUUGUGGAUAUUUUGCCUUGGUUUCUGUACACCUGAAAUUGGAUGAUCUCACUUCGUAUUUAAGUAGCAGAUGCCAUCUUUAAAUAGAUUAUCUUCAGCCAGACCAAUAGACAGAAAUUCAUGUUUCUGGGAGACACAUCCUUCCUGUGGUCUGUAUGCAAGGCUCUGCCCGGAUUUGCCCUAGGACUGUUCAUUUGUCUAGUAAUAUGAGGGACCAGAUUUGUUUCUGAUGGCUCGAUACUGAUUUAUUGUCUUAUGUUGAAGUUCUUACUUAUUUCAUUUUCAUGACUGUAGCUUACAUAUUUAUUUUCUGCUAUUUUUUAUAUAUCCAAAUGAUAAGAAUGCCUUUUAUUUUUUCCCUGGAAAAACUGCACAAAUUUAAUAGCGGCAGCUGUUGUCAAGCAGCCAAACCAGUUAGUUACAGUGAAAAAUAUGGCAUAAACUAAGCUCUUUAAGAAAACUAAUUACUUACAUUGAAACUGUGUUAAUAUAGAUGACUGGAAAGACUCUCCUUGAUAAGAAUUACUGUAUUUGCAAGUACCAUUCUUAGAACCAGUUUUUUGAUGAAGUAAGACCAAGAAAGUAGAAAUGUCAAUAGAGUAACGAAUAAACAAUAAAUUCCCCCUGAAGGAAUGGGAAUAGCAAGAAAGACAGAUUUAUUUAUUUAUUUGUUUGUUUUCCCAUGAUAACAAAUCUCUAGUUAUGUUAAGAUUGUUUUUGUUGUUGUUGUUGUUGUUGUUGUUGUGUGUGUUUUGUUUUGUUUUGCCUGGGUAGUUUUGAGUUCCUGUAAGAUUAUUGUCAGACACAAUAGAUAUUCAGCAUCAAGGCUAGACAUUUUCUGUUUUUUGCCUUUUUCAUGCUUUAGUUUCAUACAUUAAAUACAAAUACCGUCAUUUUAUAAUUCUCCUGAGUCUGUUAUUGUCAUUUUGAGUAACUGUGAUCUCUUUCUUUUCCUUUACUUUCUUCUGUCUCUAUUUCCUGUGAAAAUUGAACGCAAUGUUUAUCUGCACUGUUGCAGGUGUAAUGCAAAGGCAAAUGUCUGCACUGAAUUCUUCCACUCUUCCAAAUGCUAAACAGCAAUGUGAACUAUCUGAAAAGCACAGUUAACUCCCAACACAUUAAUAUCAUCCCUAGCAAGUGCCAAUAAAGUCCUAUCUGAGGCAAAGGAAGGUUCUGUUUCCUGAUAGUAAAACCUAACAGCAUCCCUCCAGAAAAACAUACAUCUCUGGUUGAGGAGUGAAUACACAACAGUAUGUUUGUGCUGUUUCUGUGGUGGUUCUUUUUACACAGUGUUCAAA
ensembl:lncRNA